rnacentral:rRNA from 1 species
GACGAACGCUGGCGGCGUGCUUAACACAUGCAAGUCGAACGGUGAAGCGCCUUCCUUUUUGGUGGGUGUGGAUGAGUGGCGAACGGGUGAGUAACACGUGAGUAACCUGCCCCCUUCUUCUGGAUAACCGCAUGAAAGUGUGGCUAAUACGGGAUAUUCUGGGUCUGUCGCAUGAUGGGUCUGGGAAAGAUAUUGUUUCGGUGGGGGAUGGGCUCGCGGCCUAUCAGCUUGUUGGUGGGGUGAUGGCCUACCAAGGCGGUGACGGGUAGCCGGCCUGAGAGGGUGGACGGUCACACUGGGACGGAGACACGGAGCAGACUCCUACGGGAGGCAGCAGGGGAGAAUAUUGCACAAUGGGCGGAAGCCUGAUGCAGCGACGCCGCGUGAGUGAUGGAGGCCUUCGGGUUGUGAACCUCUUUCGCCAGUGAAGCAGGCCUGCCUCGUUUGUGGGUGGGUUGACGGUAGCUGGAUAAGAAGCGCCGGCUAACUACGUG